ACACUGACUUUGAGCCCCCAUGCACCUGCUCAUGGCAUCAGGGGAAAAGAUGCAGCUCCAGAGAAUGUACUUUCACAUAACUGGGGCCACUCGGCCCUAUGAGCAGUGCCUUUUACCUCAAGUGACACAG
rnacentral:snoRNA from 1 species